rnacentral:misc_RNA from 1 species
GCAAACUUGGUCAUUUAGAGGAAGUAAAAGUCGUAACAAGGUCUCCGUAGGUGAACCUGCGGAGGGAUCAUUACAGAGUUCGUGCCCUCGCGGGUAGAUCUCCCACCCUUGUGUAUUCCUUGCAUUUUUGUUGCUUUGGCAGGCCGUUGGUUCGCCAACCACCGGCUCUACGGGCUGGUGCGUGCCUGCCAGAGGACCCCCCCAAACUCGGUUUGUUCGUGUCGUCUGAGUAACCAUAACAAUCGUUAAAACUUUCAACAACGGAUCUCUUGGUUCUGGCAUCGAUGAAGAACGCAGC